AAGGUUUGCAAAUGGAUUCCCGAGAGGAUCUGCUUUGUAAGAAGAGCGGAGAAGCCUUGUAACCGAAACUAUCAAAGGGGGAACAAAGAAUG
rnacentral:sRNA from 2 species